rnacentral:rRNA from 2 species
AGAGUUUGAUCAUGGCUCAGGACGAACGCUGGCGGCGUGCCUAAUACAUGCAAGUCGAGCGGACUGAUGGGUGCUUGCACCCUGAAGUUAGCGGCGGACGGGUGAGUAACACGUGGGGAACCUGCCUUGUAAGUCUGGGAUAACACCGGGAAACCGGUGCUAAUACCGGAUGUCCCGUUCCGGCACCUGCCGGAGAGGGAAAAGGCGGCCUUUGGCUAGCUCGCACAGAGGGGCCCGCGGCGCAUUAGUUAGUUGGCAGGGUAACGGCCUCCCAAGGCGAUGAUGCGUAGCCGACCUGAGAGGGUGAUCGGCCACACUGGGACUGAGACACGGCCCAGACUCCUACGGGAGGCAGCAGUAGGGAAUCAUCCGCAAUGGACGAAAGUCUGACGGUGCAACGCCGCGUGAGUGAUGAAGGUUUUCGGAUCGUAAAGCUCUGUUGUGAGGGAAGAAUAGGUGGGGAGUGAAUAUGCCGGCAUCUGUGACGGUACCUCACCAGAAAGCCCCGGCUAACUACGUGCCAGCACCCGCGGUAAUACGUAGGUGGCAAGCGUUGUCCGGAAUUAUUGGGCGUAAAGGGCACGCAGGCGGUCUCGCCAGUCUGAUGUGAAAGCCCGUGGCUCCACCCCGGAAUGGUCAUUGGAAACUGGCAGACUUGAGUACAGAAGAGGAGAGUGGAAUUCCCCGUGUAGCGGUGAAAUGGGUAGAGAUGUGGAGGAACACCAGUGGCGAAGGCGACUCUCUGGUCUGUGAUUGACGCUGAGGUGGGAAAGCGUGGGGAGCGAACAGGAUUAGAUACCCCGGUAGCCACGCCCGUAAACGUUGAGUGGUAGGUGUUAGGGGUUUCGAUACCCGUAGUGCCGAAGCAAACGCAUUAAGCACUCCGGCUGGGGAGUACGACCGCAAGGUUGAAACUCAAAGGAAUUGACGGGGGCCCGCACAAGCGGUGGAGCAUGUGGUUUAAUUCGACGCAACGCGAAGAACCUUACCAGGUCCUGACAUCCUUUGACCCCUCUGGAAACAAAGCUUUCCCUUCGGGGGACAGAGUGACAGGUGGUGCAUGGUUGUCGUCAGCUCGUGUCGUGAGAUGUUGGGUUAAGUCCCGCAACCAGCGCAACCCCUGAACUUAGUUGCCAGCAUUGAGUUGGGCACUCCAAGGUGACUGCCGGUGACAACCCGGAGGAAGGUGGGCAUGACGUCAAAUCAUCAUGCCCCUUAUGACCUGGGCUACACACGUGCUACAAUGGACGGUACAAAGGGCUGCCAAACCGUGAGGUGGAGCGAAUCCUAUAAAGCCGUUCUCAGUUCGGAUUGUAGGCUGCAACUCGCCUGCAUGAAGCUGGAAUCGCUAGUAAUCGCGGAUCAGAAUGCCGCGGUGAAUACGUUCCCGGGCCUUGUACACACCGCCCGUCACACCACGAGAGCCAGCAACACCCGUAGUCGGUGAGGCAACCGUUUGGAGCCAGCCGCCGAAGGUGGGGCAGAUGAUUGGGGUGAAGUCGUAACAAGGUAACC